CAGGUUCUCAACUGAAACAUCGGUCGUUCCUACCUGGAGCAGUUAAAAUGAUGUCAAACACACCGAUUAUUUAUAGCAGCCCCAGUCUAUUCCUGACCUCACCUGGUGUGAAUGACAGCUCUUCCCUGCACAGUGGGGACCGUCUCCUUGUGACCACUGUGAUACGUUCCACCUGAGUGGCUUCAACUAGCGAAACUCUAAACAUUUAGUCUUGGUUAAUUAUUCUUCAUCUCACCAUCUCAAACUUUCAAAUAUUAGAGAUGCUGUACCAAAGGUGGCUCAAGGACAAGUGUGGUGCAGGACAGAGGGUGGGACCUCAUGUUACAAAGGCCCUGUGGGUGGCUGGAGACCCAUUGUACUGGUGCAACAUGGGAAGGCAAUUAGAGGGAGCUGUGGUUUUGAGAGAAGGGAGAGGGAGGACAGAGUGGGAACAGGGUGAGAAAUGAUGGAUUUCUGACAUUUCUGGGCCGUGGAACCUGGUGAAUCCAUAGCCCUUCUAGACCUCUUUGAUCUCUCUGGUCCCUUCUCCUCCACACCGUCUCCAAUUUCAGGCUCUCACUGGGUCCUUUCAGAAGGAGAAGUAAGGAACACUCCAGGAGCAGAGGGAGCCAGCACAGAAGGAGUAAGAAAUUCAUUAUCAAACAAAAGGACUAGAAUACAUUUGAAUGAAUAAACAGGAAAGCUAUCCCUUUUUGUCCUGCUAGAAUAUUUGAAAUGCAAAAUAACUGGUGUUUAUACAAAUUUACAGCAUCUAUUGUACGUCUUAGUCACCGACACCAUUUGGAAAGCUGUGUGUUCUCUAACUAGAGGCAGGUCCAGAAGUAAUUUAUGAUGAAUCUGGUGUGCACUUCUCCCUCCAUUCCCACACCCCCUGCUCAAAUUAGGGAGAGAGUGACUACACCUGCUUUUGAAUCCUUCUCUCACCCGGCCCAUCUGCCCACUGGAAACCGCUCUUGGGCUUGAUCACACUUUUACAGGGUGGCCAGGGAAAGUCCUCAGGGAUAACAGGCCACAAAGACCCCUAGGUGAUGUCAGUUGGGG
rnacentral:lncRNA from 1 species